UAGUGUAGAUAGAGUUUGAUCAUGGCUCAGAACGAACGCUGGCGGCAGGCCUCAAACAUGCAAGUCUAGGGGGGUAGCAAUACCCACCGGCGGACGGGUGCGUAACGCGUGGGAAUGUACCUAUUGGUUCGGGACAACCCAGGGAAACUUAGGCUAAUACCGAAUGUGCCCGUAAGGGGAAAGAUUUAUCGCCAAUAGAUCAGCCCGCGUAGGAUUAGCUAGUUGGUGGGGUAAUGGCCCACCAAGGCUCCGAUCCUUAGCUGUUCUGAGAGGAAGAUCAGCCACACUGGGACUGAGACACGGCCCAGACUCCUACGGGAGGCAGCAGUUGGGAAUCUUGGACAAUGGGCGAAAGCCUGAUCCAGCCAUGCCGCGUGAGUGAUGAAGGCCUUCGGGUUGUAAAACUCUUUCGACGGGGACGAUAAUGACGGUACCCGUAGAAGAAGCUCCGGCUAACUUCGUGCCAGCCGCCGCGGUAAU
rnacentral:rRNA from 1 species